AGGGGAAGAAGAGGGAUUGAAAUCGGCAGUGUUGGAAAGUUUGAAGCUUUGAUCGGCUAAUUUCAUUGCGAUUCUCAGGGCCCAUUGCAGCUGUAUCUAAAUAUUGUCUGGGUUUGAUCUGUGGAUGGAAGUUGAGGGUUUCGGGGUUGUGUUGUUUUUUGGUCAAAUUAAGUUUUGGAUAUGGUUUGUUUCAUGUUUGAUUGUGUAGUUUUGAUAAAGAUAAGUGAUAAAUUUAUUGUGUGUAUUAGCAGCUAUAGUAAAAAAAUUGAAUAGGUUUUUGUCAUCAGAACGAACGAACUUGGGAAUUUUAUUUUAUUUAUUAUUAUUUUUUUAAUUCAUGUAGAAACGGGUUGUUUAAAUAGAGGUAUAAGAUUGGAAUGAUGCGGACAUCAUUCAUAUAGUUAUGGAAAGGACCGAUGAAAUAAUUAAAGCAUGUUAAACAUUAGAAAUCAACUAUAUAAUCUGUAAGCUGAGAGGUUAGAUGUGGUCUAUAUAUAAGCCAUAGUUCUGUGUUCUUCUCUAUGUCCAUUAAUUUUAUAUAUGAGAGCUUUAGGUGAUAUAGUUGAUGUUUCUCUAUAGAUAGGUGCUGCUCAAUUUUUGCAAAUUUCACGUUUUAAUCUCUGUACGUUUCUUUUAUUUUGCUUUUUAAAUAAUUGUGUGCGGAUUUUUGGUAUGGCAGAAAAGGAGAUGGACUAUAGGGUUGAGUUGUUCAACAAAAAGGAAACCCCUCAAGAUUCUUAUAAUUUGGACAAUCAUAUGCAUCAGUUCAAGGGAAGUAGUGCAAACUUCACUGGCUUUUAUUUGAAUGUUAAUAAUCUAGGUGGAGAGAUUCCUCUUGAGAUCGGGAAGAUGGGCAGAUUGGAAGGUUUACUCUAUUUCUUUCAGCAAGUUUUUUUUUUUUUUUUUUUGAUGAAUUUGAUUUUUGUGCGCAUUUGACUAGUUUGUUGUUGAUUGUGUUAAAUGACUUUAUGAGUAUUUUUGUGUAGUUUGUAGGUAGAAAAAGAGAGACUAUUGGUAAGUACUUUUCUGAGUCAUUUUGAUCAUUGUUGGUUUCUGACAAAUCUUUUCUUGCUAAGAACCCUAAUUUAACUGUAGGUGGGUAUAUUUGAUGCCAUAAACAGUACAAAGAAAAAUUUGGUUUAGGUACGGUGUUUAUGAUGGUUUUUGGGUGGUAUGUUCUGUUUUGAAUGCAAACUUUGAAAUCAGCAUAGUUUUGUACCAUAAGAUUGCCACCUUGCUGACUUGAUUAUGUGCCAAAGUGGAGAGGACAACAAUGCUAAAUUGAAAAUAAAGGUUGCAGAAGAAAUGCAGGCAGAGAAGAAAGGGAAAAUUAUUGCUGCUAUUCUUCUUUCAGAGGCUUUAGGCAUUAUCCCAGCUUCUGUA